rnacentral:rRNA from 1 species
GCAGCAGUGGGGAAUUUUGGACAAUGGGCGCAAGCCUGAUCCAGCCAUUCCGCGUGAGUGAAGAAGGCCUUCGGGUUGUAAAGCUCUUUCGCAAGGGAAGAAAACUUAUCCUCUAACAUAGGAUGAGGUUGACGGUACCUUGAUAAGAAGCACCGGCUAACUACGUGCCAGCAGCCGCGGUAAUACGUAGGGUGCGAGCGUUAAUCGGAAUUACUGGGCGUAAAGCGUGCGCAGGCUGUUUUGUAAGUCAGAUGUGAAAUCCCUGAGCUCAACUUAGGAACUGCGUUUGAAACUACAAGACUAGAAUAUGUCAGAGGGGGGUAGAAUUCCACGUGUAGCAGUGAAAUGCGUAGAGAUGUGGAGGAAUACCAAUGGCGAAGGCAGCCCCCUGGGAUAAUAUUGACGCUCAUGCACGAAAGCGUGGGGAGCAAACAGGAUUAGA